rnacentral:lncRNA from 1 species
CUAUUCCCUGUCUUUAAAAGAAUUUCCUCUAGAAACAGGCAAGCUGUUAAGCCUCUGUUUGUACAUCUGUAAAAUGGGGAGGAUGCCACUUAUUUAACAGUCUCAGUGAUAAAAACAGGCAAGGAAGCUGGCUGGGUACACAAACUAUAGCGUGCCCCUUAUCUCUUUCCCGUGUAUUUUCAUGAACGAGGCCAGACUGGUUUGGGCUGUUGAGGAAUGUCUUUUUGGAACCCUACAUGCUGACCCAGAUUGAUAUGGCAAAGCUGUAGAUAGCAAACAUACCAGGACUGGAGUCCUUCCUAUGCCCAGCCUAAGAGAGACCCCCUCGCACUGGCUGGCUGACCGUAGCUGCAUGCAAUCUGAGCUUAUGCAACUUCCCAGCGCUGAUAGCCGGCGCACAUCUGUGAUUGAUUACUGUGAAGCGUUCAGAAGCCAGGGGCUCUGCCUGGGACCCCCAGUAAUCACCUCCUCUCUCUACCUUGUGUUCACUUCGAGGGGCCACAGAACUACGCCAAGACAGGCUGAGUAAGGAGUCCAGGCUGACUGCAUCCAGCAGAGGAGAGAGAGAGAGAGAGAGAGAGAGAGAGAGAGAGAGAGAGAGAGAGAGAGAGAGAGAGUGUGUGUGUGUGUGUGUGUGUGUGUGUGUGUGUGUGUGUGUUGUACUUUUGUUUUGUUUUGCAAGUUUCUGAAUAAAAUUUGAAAUCCCAAAGUCAUGCUCCACAUGUGGAAAGCUGAACUCAGACUCUUAGUCUGAGAUCUGUUUGGCAGUUGAAGCUACGUCCAGUUGUCAUAGUCUGCUUCUUUCAUGUCAGAUUUUGGACAAGAACAGAACCUACGAGGUUUUGACCGUGUGCCAGGUGGUCACAGUUUAAGAGACAGAAGAGGCUCGUGGAGAAACUCCGGGAGGGAUGGCCAAGCCGACACUGGACAGACAAACUC